GGUUGCAGUUGCGACAAAAGAAGUUCCAAGUUUUGGGGUUGAAUUGGAGCUACAGCUGCCGGCCUACACCACAGCCACAGGAACGUGGGAUCCGAACCACAUCUGUGACCCACACCACAGCUCACGGCAACGCCAGAUCCUUAACCCACUGAGCGAGAGCAGGAAUCGAACCCGCAUCCUCAUGGAUACUAGUCAGGUUCGUUCCUGCUGAACCACAAUGGGAACUCAAAAACAAACAAACAAACAAACAAACAAAAAAACCCAAACAAAAAAGCUUUUUAUUGUGAUAAAAUAUACCUAAUAAAAAAUAUACCACUUCAACCAUUUUUUUUUUUUUUUUUUUGCCUUUUGUCUUUUUGUUGUUGUUAUUUCUUGGGCCGCUCCCGCGGCAUAUGGAGGUUCCCAGGCUAGGGGUCGAAUCGGAGCUGUGGCCACCGGCCUACGUCAGAGCCACAGCAAUGCGGGAUCCGAGCCGCGUCUGCAACCUACACCACAGCUCACGGCAACGCCGAAUCGUUAACCCACUGAGCAAGGGCAGGGACCGAACCCGCAACCUCAUGGUUCCUAGUCAGAUUCGUUAACCACUGCACCACGACGGGAACUCCCACUUCAACCAUUUUUAAGAGCACAACUCAGCAGCAUGAAGUACAUUCCCUUUUGUCUUUAAUGGUUUCCUUUUCCUGGUUCUCCACGUAGACGCCACGUGCGCUGGGGGUCACAGGCCCCCAAACUCUCACAUGUGGUAUCCCACACCAUGUUUGCCGUAGCCCUGAAGGAUGUCACCCACACUGUCCCACUGUCCCAAACAACCUCAGACGUGACCUCCCACAGAGUCAGUCUCAGUCACACCCCACGGAGUUUCUUUCUAGAGCUCGGUCUCACCCCCACGCCUGAUUUCACACUCAGCUGUCACUGCGGCUUCUCAACACACAUGUAGCACUGGGUAGUCCACCGUGUCACAGUGGCCUCCCCCUUACACGCACACCACAUUGUCACAACUGUUCUUAUACAUGGGGUCACCGGUACAGCCUCUCACACACACACUAAGCACAUCAGUCAGUUACUCUGCGGUACCUGCAGUGUCAGUUACCCACUGAGAAAGUCAUAGCUUCUCUCACACGAACGUCACAAAGUCACAAUGUCGCAUACAGUUUCUCUCCCGUGCAGCCACACACACGAACUGCCUUCACUCAGUUCCCUCACUUGCGCGCAUCCACCCCAUGCUCGGUGUCACCUGCACACUGUCCCACUCGGCUUCCCUCUCACACACAUCCAGCGUCACGCACAGUUGCACUCUCAUUUCCCUCUAUCACUUCCUGUCCUUUCGGGCCUGGCAGGGAACACAGGAAGCAAUCAGCACUCUAGGAAACCUCAGGGGCUGAGGCUUUGGGACCCGCAGAGGGAUGGGAUUCUCUGCCCCCCCUCCUGUGGGACCCUGGGCGGGCAGGCAGAGCCCUCUCCCCUCCAGGGUCCUCCAGGGGAAGCGGGGGUGGUGGGUGGGGGGCCGGUACCUCUCCUGCACACAACCCUGGGCUGGCCCAACACCAGGAGGGAGGGGAGGGAGAGGCCAUGGGGACUGGGCUGAGUGAGAGCUGCUGGCCUCUACCCCAGCUCUGACCAUGGCCCCAGGGCUGCCCCAGAGGUCUGUGGAGACCCGGGUCCUCAAGGCCACCCUUCGGACCCCACCACUUCUACAGCCCCCUCUGGCUACCUCCGCAGAAGGCUGCAGCAUUUAGAGUCCUCUUGGCUCCAUGGGGCCUGGCACCACCAGCUCCCUCCCUCACUGUACUCCUGGUGAGCCCACCCUGGGGGGCAGGACUGAGAGCUUCUACCUAAGCCCCUAGCAGGGUCUGGAAGGCGGGUGAUGGCCAUCCGGGUGGCCUCUGAACAAGACCCCACCGCCACUUCCGAAGUGCGUGCUGGCUUCCCUGUCCCCGGCCGCAUGCUGCCUGCACCCCUUCCAGCCACUGCCACCUGGCUUAGCUACCCCUCAGUCACCCCCUGAUGAGCCCUGACCUUCUUCCUUAGACCACUGGGUCAGUCAACCAUUUCCCUCUCCAGACCCCGCCAGGCCCAGGCUCCAUAAUGGGAGGGAGAGGGAAGGCUAACUGGCUAGAGUCAGAAACUCCAGGAGAAUCUCAGAGAAAGGGGACCUGAGAAGUCAUUGAUUCCAAGCAGGGAAACUGAGGCCUAUCAGGACGACACACGACUUGUUAAAGGCCCAGCUGGAGGAGGGUGGUUAGGGCUCUGGCGCUUUCACCGCUGAGGCUGGGUUCAGUCACAGUAAGCUGGCCACUGCUUACUGUGCCUCCCCACCCCCAAAAAGGCCCAGCUGGAGCCAGAUCUCUUAAUUUCUUGACCUCUUCUGUUAAGACGUCUCCUUCUCAUUUUAAUAUUUCCCCAGUUGGCAGAAUGUACCAGAAUCUGCAAACCCGAGGGUGAGGGUGGGAGUAGGGCCCAGGACCCACACAUACACAUCUCUGUCCUGCCAAUCACUGAUUAUCCUACACAGCCAUUCCCCAGUCCAAAUACGAUAAUUAGCAUUAAUUACUGUUGGGGGGUGGGGUGGGGGGAGGCCCAAGAGGUUGAGACUCCCAUUGGAUCAAGGCGUCUCUCUGAGGAAGGGGCAUCCAGAGUCCCUGAAGUCACCGUUGCUCUACAGCCUAGUCCUAGAAAAUAAUACAUCUGUCCAUUGCCUGCCCACAGGGUGAGCAGGGAUCCAGAAGGACCACAGAACCUUCCUGUGGCCGCACUCCUGGGGGUAAGGUCUUGGAAAAGGAAAUACAAGAAUCUGGAAGGCAGGAAGACCUAAUUCCCCCAAAUCUCCAACUUGUGGUGACAUUAGAUUUCCUUCCUUGCCCCAGGCUGCCCCCAGCCACCUUCUGGCCAAGGAGGCAUCCUGGCCCCCUGCACUGGGGUGGAAUAUGUGUACACAUAAUCAGGCUGCCGGAGGCCAGAGCCUUGUGGAUCAGCCCCUCCGGGUUGUGUCCAGCUCCUACCCCCCUGCUCUCCUGGGCUACAAGUCCAGGCCUGACCUGGCUCAGCCUCCACCUGGAGAGGGGGAAGGCACAGAGGAGGGGGGCGCCUCCUGAGAAGCCCUUCCCCAAGGCCUCAUUCUCCCUGGUCCAGAAUGAAUCUCUCAGCCCUGGAUCAGGGCCCCCUCUCCUGGAAAAGUGGCACAGUGGGGUCUCAAUGACACUGCCCCAGGGCCUGGCUGGGCUGGAAACCAGAUGCAGUCAGGCACUUGUGG
ensembl:lncRNA